CCCUGUCUUGGGGCUUGGAGCGUGGCACAGCCGCCACCCAGUUGUGAGCAUAGGACAGGGAGGGAGAGAGGGAGCUGAGUUUCUUCCUAGGAAAUUAGCUUCGGAGAUGGUGCUUGGGACCUUUAACCCUGUACUCAAAGGCAGCCUCUGUGGGGUGAGCUGGGACCAGAUGUCUGGUUUGCAGAGGCCUCUUCUGAGAGGGCAGAUAGGCACAGGAGUUAGGGUAGUUUCUCUGCCUUUUCUUUUUCCUCUCACUUUCUACUAUGUGUUAGGCCCAGUUAUGCCCAAGGAUCUGGCACUUAGCCUAACAAGGUAUGGUGUAUACCUAACUAAAAAAUCUCUCAUGUGUGGAUAGUACUUUACAGUUUACAAAGCCCUUUCAUCUCCAGUCUAAGAAUUAAAAGCCGGGACUGGAUUUUAAAUAUUUUAAGAUUCUAAAGCCUGCGCCAACAGUUUUUGAUGUGGUGUCACACGGCAGUCUAAAUUUGAGUGGUUUUUAUCUGCCUUAUGUUCAGCUGUUUUCUUCUAGUCUGAGACCCCCACUUUUUUUUUCAGGGGGAUGAUUAUUAAAUAUUACCCACUCCAACCAAGCCUCUUUAAAUAGAAGCUAUUAUCUUUGCCUAGCAGUUCACAGCAUAGAGAAUAUUGGUUUUCAUGAAUCUGUAUUUGCUGGAUAACACGGUGAUGGUAGUGGUGAGCUGUCUUGUGAUUGAUCUUCAGGAUUUAUCCUUCAUGGCACCAGAUUUCUAGGUCUGAUAGGUUAAGGGAACCUCUGAGGCACACAGGUGGUAGAGCUAGAGCUCCCUGAACCUGAGGACCUGAGGCAGGAGACCAGAAUAUUCAAGCACAGGUGCUUCACCCUAGUACACAGAAUGACCUUGGUCAAGCCACCUAAGCCUCAGCUUCCUUUUAUAUAACAUGGGGAUAACUCAUUCACUCAUUCAGCAAAUAUUUAUUGAGUAUGCACUGUUCUGGGAGAUGAACCAAAAGACAGAGUCCCUGCCCUCCCAGAGCUUGUGAUCUAGUGAGUCUAAACUGCAGCAAUUUAUUGAGAGGGACAAAUAGAUAAGUAUAUAGUAGAAAGUCAGGUAGAAGUGCCAUGAAGCAAAAUUAAAGCAUGGCAAGGGUGUGUUGCUGCUGCUACUAAGUCACAUCAAGUCGGACACGACUGAAGCGACUUAGCAGCAGCAGCAGCAGCAGCAGCAGUCUGUUUCUAGAGGCCAAGCUGAGUUGUGAGGGGUCUAGGAUUAGAUACAAGGAGACAGCCUAGCUGGCAUAUACAGGCU
ensembl:lncRNA